rnacentral:rRNA from 1 species
AACUCGAUCUCAAUCAAGUUAAGACUACCCGCUGAACUUUAACCAUAUCAAUAGGCGGAGGAAAAAGAAACUAACAGGAUUCCCCUAGUACGGCGAGUGAAGCGGGAUGAGCUCAAAUUUAAAAUCUGGCUGGUUUACUAGUCCGAAUUGUAGUUUAUAGAAGCGUUUUCGGUGGCAGCCUGGGUAUAAAUCCUUUGGAAUAGGGUAUCAUAGAGGGUGAGAAUCCCGUCUUUGACUCAGUGCAUGCUACUAUGUGAUACGUUUUCAAAGAGUCGAGUUGUUUGGGAAUGCAGCUCAAAAUGGGUGGUAAAUUUCAUCUAAAGCUAAAUAUUGGCGAGAGACCGAUAGCGAACAAGUACCGUGAGGGAAAGAUGAAAAGAACUUUGAAAAGAGAGUUAAACAGUGCGUGAAAUUGUUGAAAGGGAAACGUUUGACACCAGUUAUGCGGGUGGAAAAUCAGUCUUUUGCAAUGGGGAGUUGUGGGCGUUCAGACCGCAAGGCUGGCGUUUGCUUCAUCUUUGUUGUAAGUGAUGCACUUUUUCAUUUGCAGGUCAACAUCAGUUUGCUUUGCUGGACAAAACCCCAAGGGAAGGUGGCAGCUUAGGCUGUGUUAUAGCCCUGGGGCGAUACAGUGGAGUGGACUGAGGUUUCGCAGUGUGUGCUCUCGGGCAAGGCUGACUGGGUGCUAUGGGAUCGUUCGGCGUACAAUGCAUGCAU